UUUUUAGCUGACGCAUGCGCGUAAUAAUACAUCCGUCUAAAGGUUAAGCACGCUAAAUUUGACAGCGGUCAAUCGAAAUUCUGCAGAUAGGUUUUGGUAUACGAUAAAUAACUGACCAAAACAAAGGACGCCACAAUGAGUUUUGGAGGAGAUGACCAACAAAAAAUGGACCCUAAGCAUGUUAAGAUGGUCCAGGGUAUGGCAAUGCUGGCGGAAAUAAAUGAAGGAAUGAACAAAAUCACCCGCUUAUGUUGGGAUAUUUGUGAUGUGACACCAAGAGACAAAUUAGAUGGUCGCAACGAGACAUGUAUGCGAUAUUGUGUUGAGAGAUAUUUCGAUGCCUCACAGCUUAUCAGCAAUAGAUUGAGCAAAAAGGCUUCAGCACAUUCAGAUGGUUUUAGUUAAUUGAAAAGAACAUUUAGUGGAUUUUGUUCGUAUAUUCUUUACACAUAUUUUGAGCAACUGGCUUUGUCAAUCAUAGUCAGAUGUUUUUGUAAUUUGUUAAUGCAGAAGAUUGUUAUGGACAGUUUCAGUUGUGUAUGUAUGGUACUUGGAAACAUGAUGUAGUAAGUUUGUGCAGCACUAAAUGUGGAGGUGCCAAAUGUUUCCAGUGAUACAACAUAAGGCUUAGCAAAUUAUGAAUACUUGAUGCAUUUAUUCAUGAUAAACAACAUGUAUAGUUACACCUUCAGUCCCUUAUAUGGCACAAGUCCUAUGACUUGUCAUGUACAAAUCCUUCUGGUUUUCUUAUAGUCACACAUGUGGUUAUACCAUUCAAAAAAGUGUUUUCAUUUAGUACAAUAUAAACAUUACAAUAAAAGGUCAAUAUAUGAA